rnacentral:rRNA from 1 species
CAGUCGCCGCGGUAAUACAGAGGGUGCAAGCGUUAAUCGGAAUUACUGGGCGUAAAGCGCGCGUAGGUGGUUUGUUAAGUUGGAUGUGAAAGCCCCGGGCUCAACCUGGGAACUGCAUCCAAAACUGGCAAGCUAGAGUACGGUAGAGGGUGGUGGAAUUUCCUGUGUAGCGGUGAAAUGCGUAGAUAUAGGAAGGAACACCAGUGGCGAAGGCGACCACCUGGACUGAUACUGACACUGAGGUGCGAAAGCGUGGGGAGCAAACAGGAUUAGAUACCCGAGUAGUCCCUGUCUCUUAUAA